rnacentral:rRNA from 1 species
AGAGUUUGAUCAUGGCUCAGAAUCAACGCUGGCGGCGUGCCUCAGACAUGCAAGUCGAACGAUUAAACUUUCCUUCGGGAAAGAUAUAAAGUGGCGCACGGGUGAGUAACACGUAAGUAAUCUACCUUCGAGUGGGGAAUAACGUCGGGAAACCGACGCUAAUACCGCAUAAUGCAGCGGCAUCGCAAGAUGACAGUUGUUAAAGAUUUAUCGCUUGAAGAGGAGCUUGCGGCAGAUUAGCUAGUUGGUAAGGUAAUGGCUUACCAAGGCUACGAUCUGUAACCGACCUGAGAGGGUGGUCGGUCACACUGACACUGAAUAACGGGUCAGACUCCUACGGGAGGCAGCAGUCGGGAAUUUUGGGCAAUGGGCGAAAGCCUGACCCAGCAACGCCGCGUGAAGGAUGAAGUAUUUCGGUAUGUAAACUUCGUAAGAAUAGGAAGAAUAAAUGACGGUACUAUG